rnacentral:rRNA from 1 species
UUCCGGUUGAUCCUGCCGGACCUGACUGCUAUCGGAUUGAUACUAAGCCAUGCGAGUCAUUGUAGCAAUACAAGGCAUACGGCUCAGUAACGCGUAGUCAACCUACCCUAUGGACGGGAAUAACCUCGGGAAACUGAGAAUAAUACCCGAUAGAACAUUAUGCCUGGAAUGGUUUAUGUUCCAAAUGAUUUAUCGCCGUAGGAUGGGACUGCGGCCUAUCAGUUUGUUGGUGAGGUAAUGGCCCACCAAGACUAUUACAGGUACGGGCUCUGAGAGGAGUGGCCCGGAGAUGGGUACUGAGACACGGACCCAGGCCCUAUGGGGCGCAGCAGGCGAGAAAACUUUGCAAUGUGCGAAAGCACGACAAGGUUAAUCCGAGUGGUUUGUGCUAAACGAACCUUUUGUCAGUCCUAGAAACACUGACGAAUAAGGGGUGGGCAAGUUCUGGUGUCAGCCGCCGCGGUAAAACCAGCACCUCAAGUGGUCAGGAUGAUUAUUGGGCCUAAAGCAUCAGUAGCCGGCUCUGUAAGUUUUCGGUUAAAUCUGUACGCUUAACGUACAGGCUGCCGGGAAUACUGCAGAGCUAGGGAGUGGGAGAGGUAGACGGUACUCGGUAGGAAGGGGUAAAAUCCUUUGAUCUAUUGAUGACCACCUGUGGCGAAGGCGGUCUACCAGAACACGUCCGACGGUGAGGGAUGAAAGCUGGGGGAGCAAACCGGAUUAGAUACCCGGGUAGUCCCAGCUGUAAACUAUGCGAGCUAGGUGUUGGGGUGGCUACGUGCCACUUCAGUGCCGCAGGGAAGCCAUUAAGCUCGCCGCCUGGGGGAGUACGGCCGCAAGGCUGAAACUUAAAGGAAUUGGCGGGGGAGCACCACAAGGCGUGAAGCUUGCGGUUCAUUU